rnacentral:rRNA from 1 species
UACGGAGGGAGCUAGCGUUGUUCGGAAUCACUGGGCGUAAAGCGCACGUAGGCGGAUUGCUAAGUCAGGGGUGAAAUCCUGGAGCUCAACUCCAGAACUGCCUUUGAUACUGGCGACCUUGAGUCCGGGAGAGGUGAGUGGAACUGCGAGUGUAGAGGUGAAAUUCGUAGAUAUUCGCAAGAACACCAGUGGCGAAGGCGGCUCACUGGCCCGGUACUGACGCUGAGGUGCGAAAGCGUGGGGAGCAAACAGG